rnacentral:rRNA from 1 species
UUUGUCGCUCCGGAUGCCUAAUACAUGCAAGUCGAACGAGACCUUCGGGUCUAGUGGCGCACGGGUGCGUAACGCGUGGGAAUCUGCCCUUGGGUUCGGAAUAACAUCGGGAAACUGAUGCUAAUACCGGAUGAUGACGUAAGUCCAAAGAUUUAUCGCCCAGGGAUGAGCCCGCGUAGGAUUAGCUAGUUGGUGAGGUAAAGGCUCACCAAGGCGACGAUCCUUAGCUGGUCUGAGAGGAUGAUCAGCCACACUGGGACUGAGACACGGCCCAGACUCCUACGGGAGGCAGCAGUAGGGAAUAUUGGACAAUGGGGGCAACCCUGAUCCAGCAAUGCCGCGUGAGUGAUGAAGGCCUUAGGGUUGUAAAGCUCUUUUACCCGGGAUGAUAAUGACAGUACCGGGAGAAUAAGCCCCGGCUAACUCCGUGCCAGCAGCCGCGGUAAUACGGAGGGGGCUAGCGUUGUUCGGAAUUACUGGGCGAAAMAVBACURUMRSNVRUM